GGUUGUCGUCAGCUCGUGUCGUGAGAUGGUUGGGUUAAGUCCCGCAACGAGCGCAACCCUUUGUGUUUUAGUUGCAAACAGGUCAAGCUGUGCACUCUAGACAGACUGCCGUGGACAACACGGAGGAAGGUGGGGAUGACGUCAAAUCAUCAUGCCCCUUAUGAUCUGGGCUACACACGUGCUACAAUGGCCGGUACAACGGGCAGCGAAGGAGCGAUCCGGAGCGAAUCCUAAAAAGCCGGUCCCAGUUCGGAUUGCAGGCUGAAACUCGCCUACAUGAAGUUGGAGUUGCUAGUAAUCGCGAAUCAGAAUGUCGCGGUGAAUGCGUUCCCGGGUCUU
rnacentral:rRNA from 1 species